rnacentral:rRNA from 1 species
AGAUUGAACGCUGGCGGCAUGCCUUACACAUGCAAGUCGAACGGCAGCACGGGAGCAAUCCUGGUGGCGAGUGGCGAACGGGUGAGUAAUACAUCGGAACGUGCCCAAUCGUGGGGGAUAACGCAGCGAAAGCUGUGCUAAUACCGCAUAAG